UACGUAGGGUCCGAGCGUUGUCCGGAAUUACUGGGCGUAAAGAGCUCGUAGGUGGUUUGUCGCGUUGUCCGUGAAAACUCACAGCUUAACUGUGGGCGUGCGGGCGAUACGGGCAGACUGGAGUACUGCAGGGGAGACUGGAAUUCCUGGUGUAGCGGUGGAAUGCGCAGAUAUCAGGAGGAACACCGGUGGCGAAGGCGGGUCUCUGGGCAGUGGACUGACGCUGGAGACGCGAAAGCGUGGGGAGCAAACAGG
rnacentral:rRNA from 1 species